rnacentral:rRNA from 1 species
UACGCAGGGUGCAAGCGUUACUCGGAAUUACUGGGCGUAAAGCGUGCGUAGGCGGUUUGUUAAGUCCGUUGUGAAAGCCCUGAGCUCAACCUGGGAAUUGCAGUGGAUACUGGCGAGCUAGAGUGCGGUAGAGGAUGGUGGAAUUCCCGGUGUAGCGGUGAAAUGCGUAGAGAUCGGGAGGAACACCCGUGGCGAAGGCGGCCAUCUGGACCAGCACUGACGCUGAGGCACGAAAGCGUGGGGAGCAAACAGG